rnacentral:rRNA from 1 species
UACGUAGGGUGUGAGCGUUAAUCGGAAUUACUGGGCGUAAAGCGUGCGCAGGCGGUCUGUUAAGACCGAUGUGAAAUCCCCGGGCUUAACCUGGGAACUGCAUUGGUGACUGGCAGGCUUUGAGUGUGGCAGAGGGAGGUAGAAUUCCACGUGUAGCAGUGAAAUGCGUAGAGAUGUGGAGGAAUACCGAUGGCGAAGGCAGCCUCCUGGGCCAACACUGACGCUCAUGCACGAAAGCGUGGGGAGCAAACAGG